rnacentral:rRNA from 3 species
ACCUUCGGGCCUCUUGCCAUCAGAUGUGCCCAGAUGGGAUUAGCUUGUUGGUGAGGUAACGGCUCACCAAGGCGACGAUCCCUAGCUGGUCUGAGAGGAUGACCAGCCACACUGGAACUGAGACACGGUCCAGACUCCUACGGGAGGCAGCAGUGGGGAAUAUUGCACAAUGGGCGCAAGCCUGAUGCAGCCAUGCCGCGUGUAUGAAGAAGGCCUUCGGGUUGUAAAGUACUUUCAGCGGGGAGGAAGGUGUUGUGGUUAAUAACCGCAGCAAUUGACGUUACCCGCAGAAGAAGCACCGGCUAACUCCGUGCCAGCAGCCGCGGUAAUACGGAGGGUGCAAGCGUUAAUCGGAAUUACUGGGCGUAAAGCGCACGCAGGCGGUCUGUCAAGUCGGAUGUGAAAUCCCCGGGCUCAACCUGGGAACUGCAUUCGAAACUGGCAGGCUUGAGUCUUGUAGAGGGGGGUAGAAUUCCAGGUGUAGCGGUGAAAUGCGU